rnacentral:rRNA from 1 species
GACGAACGCUGGCGGCGUGCUUAACACAUGCAAGUCGAACGGAAGGGCCCUGCUUUUGUGGGGUGCUCGAGUGGCGAACGGGUGAGUAACACGUGAGUAACCUGCCCUUGACUUUGGGAUAACUUCAGGAAACUGGGGCUAAUACCGGAUAGGAGCUCCUGCUGCAUGGUGGGGGUUGGAAAGUUUCGGCGGUUGGGGAUGGACUCGCGGCUUAUCAGCUUGUUGGUGGGGUAGUGGCUUACCAAGGCUUUGACGGGUAGCCGGCCUGAGAGGGUGACCGGCCACAUUGGGACUGAGAUACGGCCCGGACUCCUACGGGGGGAAGCAGUGGGAAAUAUUCCACAAUGGGCGGAGGCCGGAUGCAGCAACGCCGGGUGCGGGAUGACGGCCUUCGGGUUGUAACCCGCUUUCGCCUGUGACGAAGCGUGAGUGACGGUAAUGGGUAAAGAAGCACCGGCUAACUACGUG